rnacentral:rRNA from 1 species
GAGUUUGAUCAUGGCUCAGAGCGAACGCUGGCGGCGUGCUUAACACAUGCAAGUCGAGUGCGCGCCUGUAGCAAUACAGGUGGCGCACGGCGCACGGGUGCGUAACACGUGGGUAAUCUGCCCUUCGAUGGGGAAUAACUCCGGGAAACCGAAGCUAAUUCCGCAUAACAUUCCUUGAACCUCGGUUUGGGGAUUCAAAGCCGUAAGGCGUCGGAGGAGGAACCCGCGCACGAUUAGCUAGUUGGUAGGGUAACGGCCUACCAAGGCUUUGAUCGUUAGCUGGUCUGAGAGGAUGGCCAGCCACACUGGAACUGAGACACGGUCCAGACUCCUACGGGAGGCAGCAGUGGGGAAUCUUGCACAAUGGGCGAAAGCCUGAUGCAGCGACGCCGCGUGGGGGAUGAAGCUUCUCGGAGUGUAAACCCCUUUCGACCCGGACGAAUGCCCCGCAAGGGGACUGACGGUACGGGUAUAAGAAGCCCCGGCUAACUACGUGCCAGCAGCCGCGGUAAGACGUGGGGGGCCAGCGUUGCUCGGAAUUACUGGGUGUAAAGGGUUCGUAGGCGGUGUGGCAAGUCGGGAGUGAAAUCUCUGGGCUUAACUCAGAGACUGCUUCCGAAACUGCUGUGCUUGAGUGUGGGAGAGGCGCGUGGAAUUGCAGGUGUAGCGGUGAAAUGCGUAGAUAUCUGCAGGAACACCCGUGGCGAAAGCGGCGCGCUGGACCACUACUGACGCUGAGGAACGAAAGCUAGGGGAGCAAACAGGAUUAGAUACCCUGUAGUCCUAGCCCUAAACGAUCAGGACUUGGGGUGCCGCACGUUCGUGCGUCGUCCGGAGCUAACGCGUUAAGUCCUGCACCUGGGGAGUACGGUCGCAGACUGAAACUCAAGGAAUUGACGGGGGCCCGCACAAGCGGUGGAACAUGUGGUUCAAUUCGAGGCUUCCGCGA